rnacentral:rRNA from 1 species
ACUACAUGAAGCUGGAAUCGCUAGUAAUCGCGAAUCAGAAUGUCGCGGUGAAUACGUUCCCGGGUCUUGUACACACCGCCCGUCACACCAUGGGAGUCAGUAACGCCCGAAGUCAGUGACCCAACCGGAAGGAGGGAGCUGCCGAAGGCGGGACCGGUAACUGGGGUGAAGUCGUAACAAGGUACC